rnacentral:lncRNA from 1 species
GGGUCACCCCGACAUCAGGGUCCGGCCCUCCUGCUUCUCACGCCGACGCUUCACCUCCAGCUCUGGCCUCACCAAGCAGAUUAUCACUGAUCUGAAGACAGAGAGGCGGCGGGACUCUGAUUUGGGGGUCUGGGCUUGCCAGAAGCUCCUCAGCAGUCGGUGCCAUCGGCCGCGACUGGUGAACCUGAGGCUCAAGAGGUAUCUCCAGGUUUUGGUCACAAGAGAUCCAGCGUUCAAGAAGGCACCCACUCACCCCUGCAUCGGGUGUCCUGGGGCCGGACUGGGCAGUGAUUUCACGCACGUCGUCUUCUUCAGAUCGCUGGUGGACAUAUGUGACACCCCUCUGUCCUUUGGCAUUGCGUUCCUUUGCAUCGAGGUGUUCCAUUAGGUAGGGUUUCUCUUCAUUUGAUAUUGGGGCUUUCCUUGGAAUUAAUGCUCUGUUUAUGAAAU